rnacentral:rRNA from 1 species
AAGUUUGAUCCUGGCUCAGAACGAACGCUGGCGGCAUGCUUAACACAUGCAAGUCGAACGAGAUCUUCGGAUCUAGUGGCGCACGGGUGAGUAACGCGUGGAAAUCUGCCAUUCUGUACGGAAUAACGUUUGGAAACGAACGCUAAUACCGUAUACGCCCUACGGGGGAAAGGUCCGCCGCAGAAUGAGGAGUCCGCGUCCGAUUAGCUAGUUGGUAGGGUAAUGGCCUACCAAGGCGACGAUCGGUAGCUGGUCUGAGAGGAUGAUCAGCCACACUGGGACUGAGACACGGCCUAGACUCCUACGGGAGGCAGCAGUGGGGAAUAUUGGACAAUGGGGGCAACCCUGAUCCAGCAAUGCCGCGUGUGUGAUGAAGGCCCUAGGGUUGUAAAGCACUUUCAUGGUGAAGAUGAUGACGGUAACCAUAGAAGAAGCCCCGGCUAACUUCGUGCCAGCAGCCGCGGUAAUA